rnacentral:miRNA from 1 species
GAGGUGGGAAGAUUGCUUGAGCCAGGGUGGUUGAGGCUUCAGAGAGUUUUUAUUGUACCACUGCACUCCAGCCUGGGUGACAGAGCAAGACCCUGUCUCA